GACGAACCGUGCGAACGUUGUUCGGAAUCACUGGGCUUAAAGGGCGCGUAGGCGGGCUGGCAAGUCAGGGGUGAAAGCCCACGGCUCAACCGUGGAAGUGCCUUUGAUACUGCCAGUCUGGAGGGAGGUAGGGGCGUGCGGAACUUCCGGUGGAGCGGUGAAAUGCGUAGAUAUCGGAAGGAACACCGGUGGCGAAAGCGGCGCGCUGGACCUCUUCUGACGCUGAGGCGCGAAAGCCAGGG
rnacentral:rRNA from 1 species